rnacentral:lncRNA from 1 species
CCAACAGCUUUGACGUCAACCACUCCUUCUCCGUCAUCAUCAUCUGCGUACCAUUCACGAACCACCUCCACCACACCCACAACGCAUCUCGAUUUCGUACCGGAAUGGUAGAAGAAACAGAGGUCGCCUGAAGCCAUGGACUUGAGAUUCUUCUGGGCUUGUUUGUUCUUGACCCCGUCCCAUUUGCUGAUGCCGCCGUUCGCGUCUUGGUCUGACCAUGACCACUCGCUUGGCUCUGUUUUCAGAAGCCAGUAUCGCUUCGAUUUCCCCAUCUUUAGAUAUUUUUGUUUUCUUUGCUUUCUUCUCAACUGAAUCCCACUCUAGAACCAAUAAGAUAUUCAGUUUUCCCAUUUGGAAUGAAUUAUGUUUCAAAUCCUUUAGAGUGAGAUCUUAAUUUGGGGUCUGCUUAAAGAAAUCACAUAUUGUGAACUUGUUUAAUGAUUCAUCACCCAUGAUGGUUUUCUUUAUUUUCUUGACAUGCUAUAUGUAUGUGAAAAACUUCUGGUUUUUCAACAUUUCACAAUAAUGUCGAUAACAUUAUUGGAGAUGGCUAUAUAUCAGUAAACUUCAGGUUUACCACUCAAUUAUAAUUUUGUCAUCUUUUUUUAUGCAUGUCUUUUCAUCGUAAGCUCCUCUAGAGCCAAUAAUAUGUUUAUAUUACUAAAUACUAUACUUAUUUAUUUUGAGAGAGGAGAUAUAUUUGUGUUACGUUUAGUAGUCAUGUAGAUGACUCAAUAUUUGCCAAGUAUAUCUAUCUACAUCCUCAAUCUUCAAAAUCUUAUUCAGGAAAAUAAUUCUCAUAUCACAUUGAUCUUUUAAUUUUCAUUUUCCGGACCAACCAGAAAAUCUAAAUCAACAAGAUGAGCAUUCAAGCUACGAAAGAUGGUUUGGGCUCAGAAGAGAUGAAGUUUAAAAUACUUCAUUUCUCUUUUUCUUUUUGAUUCUCGAUACAGAUCGGCUAAAUAUUUGGGAAUACGACAAAUACGUACCCAAAAUUCUUUCUUGCCGCAUCUGUAGCAAACCUUUUUUGUUUGCCUUUUAUCACCCGGCCACUUUCAUUUUCGUGGAAGUUCUAAUUAUUUUAUAGGGCCUGAAUCUUCUUCCUCGCUCUCUUCCACGACCAUGAUUGCGGUUUCUACCGCAUCCACAUUCUCGUCAUUUUCUAGUAGGACCGACUUGAUGGUUUAGUAUCAUGAUUUCAUUUUUUUCUUUUUUUUUUCAGUUUAUUCGGAUGAUAUACAUCAACUUCGGUCCUCUCUUUCAAGGAUUUAAUCAUCAAAGAUCUUCUAGAUCUUUUUUUCAUGAUACACCUGAUAUUCAAAACCAUCCUUGAAUUGGUGUAAAUAUCAUGGCUUUUUUUUCUCAUCUGAUAUAGUUUAUAUCGAUGAUUUCUCAAAGCUCAUUUUCUCUUAGGUGCAUCUUUGCACCCAAUGCCCAAGUCUUAUAAUUGUUUCUCGUAAUAUCCAGCGCAUUAAUUUCGAGCUUUGUCAAAACUCACAUGAUAACAUUAUUCAUAAAAUAAUAUUAUAAUAAAGACGAGAAUUUAAAUGCAGAAAUUAAAGGCAUAAAAUAAAUGCAUAAAUUAAAUUGCAGAAGUUUAAAUAGCAUAAAUAAAAUCGGGAGGCUCAGCCUACCACAUGAUCCGAGAAGUCAUAGACAUGGUAUACUAUUUUGACUUUUACUUAUUUUAAGGUCCGAAGAGACUUAGUCUACCAUUUUUGACCUUUUCUUUUUAUUUACGUAGGCAAAGCCUUCCACGUAACAUUUUUUUCGAUUAACGGAGGCAAAGCGUACCACGUGUUUCUCUGAUCGUGAAGGCAUAGCCUACCAUAACGAUCAGUCAGGAAAGAUAACGCCUAUCAUCCCAAAAAAUAAACAGAGAAGACCUAUCCUCUCACUCCGGAACAAUAAUAAAAAUUUAAAUAAAUGAAGUAUAUUGAAAUACGUAAAUUUAAACAUUACUUCAACUGGUUUAAGAACUUUCGGAUUGAUAAACUACAGUUAGUCAAAGCUUCGAGUUGAUAACGUGUUGCAUAAUAAGAGAGAACAAUUAAGUCACUUAGGUAUUUGUGAAUGAACAAAAGUAAGAUGAGAGUAAGUAUUUUAUUUAAUUAUUAUUGUUGUUCUUUGUAUUUCGGGGUGAGGAAACAACGAGAAAGAGAGCUCAAAUGAUCUUGUCUUAAUUAAUUAUCUGAGUCUUAAUAUCCUUUUAUAUAGGGAAGGUGGAAGUCGGUUAAACCGACUUGAAAGGUAAACGACAAAAUAUGAAAAUAAAUAUUAUCUUCUUACAAAAUAAAUAAUCAUUAUCUCAACACUUUGGAUAUUUCUGAAUUUUCUUUCGACUGAUCCCUAUAGAUUUCACCUCGUUACUUGCACGCCAUAUGUUCGAUAGAAUGCGUAAUAGAGUACACAAAGCAAAGAAGAAGAAACAUCAAUGGGAAAAGUGCCUAUUUAGACCCGAACAAUCUGCAUCGUGCUAAAUACGACCCAGACAAUUAGGUAGUGCCAAAUACUACCCGAACUCUAUUUUUAUUUAAAUUUCCUACCCGAACUCCUUUCCGUUUAAAAAAACCUACCCACUCUAACUUUUCGUUACUCGAGCGUUAACAGAGUUAAUUGAGCGUUAACAAACCGUUAGUGGGUUCGAUAAGCACCGUAAAACGGCGUCGUUUUGCCAUUAUCUCAAAACUACGUAGUUUUGUGAUUGGGAUUAAAUGAACCUUUAAUCCUUCUUCCUCGUUUUGGUUCUCUGCGACAAAGACGAAGAGAGAAGAGAAAAAUCAGGAAUCUUGAAGAAGUAAUAUACAUAAUGACAUUAACGACUUACCUUCUCUAGAAAGUUUACUUCUUUUGACUGGUCCCUAUAGAUUUCACCUUGUUACUUGCACGCCAUAUGUUCGAUAGAAUGCGUAAUAGAGUACACAAAACAAAGAAGAAACUUCAAUGGAGUCACACCACAACGCAAUCAAUGAUCAUAAAUCAUACUUAAGUUAACAAAAGAAGAACAUCAAUGGCGUCACUAGAGUCUUAAUCAUGCAUCAUAACAAUAACACCAUCCGUAAUUAUACCAAAAAAAAACAGACUACCAAUUUAAGACUCAUCGCUACUUUCACGAUCUUCCUUACCAUUUCCACAAAACCCAUCUCCCAGUUCACAAAUUUUUUUCCAAACAUCAUCUUCCACUGGAACAACAGACAACCUCGGCUGUCUAAACAAAACAAAAUCCUUAAUCCCUUUGUCUCCUUUCAUCUCCUUCAAAUCGACAAAUCUCCUCAUCUCUCCAACAGCUUUGACGUCAACCACUCCUUCUCCGUCAUCAUCAUCUGCGUACCAUUCACGAACCACCUCCACCACACCCACAACGCAUCUCGAUUUCGUACCGGAAUGGUAGAAGAAACAGAGGUCGCCUGAAGCCAUGGACUUGAGAUUCUUCUGGGCUUGUUUGUUCUUGACCCCGUCCCAUUUGCUGAUGCCGCCGUUCGCGUCUUGGUCUGACCAUGACCACUCGCUUGGCUCUGUUUUCAG